rnacentral:rRNA from 1 species
UACGGAGGAUGCAAUCGUUAUCCGGAAUGAUUGGGCGUAAAGCGUCCGCAGGUGGUUGUGUGUGUCUAUUGUCAAAGCAUCAUGCUUAACAUGAUAAAGGCAGUAGAAACUACACGACUAGAGUGCGUUCGGGGCAGAGGGAAUUCCUGGUGUAGCGGUGAAAUGCGUAGAGAUCAGGAAGAACACCGGUGGCGAAAGCGCUCUGCUAGGCCGCAACUGACACUGAGGGACGAAAGCUAGGGGAGAGAAUCGG